GACGAACGCUGGCGGCGUGCUUAACACAUGCAAGUCGAACGAUGAAGCCUAGCUUGCUAGGUGGAUUAGUGGCGAACGGGUGAGUAAUACGUGAGUGACCUACCUUUGACUCUGGGAUAAGCCUGGGAAACUGGGUCUAAUACCGGAUACGACCAAUCUCCGCAUGGGGUGUUGGUGGAGAGCGUUAUGGAGUGGUUUUAGAUGGGCUCACGGCCUAUCAGCUUGUUGGUGAGGUAAUGGCUUACCAAGGCGACGACGGGUAGCCGGCCUGAGAGGGUGACCGGCCACACUGGGACUGAGACACGGCCCAGACUCCUACGGGAGGCAGCAGUGGGGAAUAUUGCACAAUGGGCGCAAGCCUGAUGCAGCGACGCCGCGUGAGGGAUGACGGCCUUCGGGUUGUAAACCUCUGUUAGCAUCGAAGAAGCGAAAGUGACGGUAGGUGCAGAGAAAGCGCCGGCUAACUACGUGCCAGCAGCCGCGGUAAUACGUAGGGCGCGAGCGUUGUCCGGAAUUAUUGGGCGUAAAGAGCUUGUGGCGGUUGGUCGCGUCUGCUGUGAAGGCUGGGGCUUAACCCUGGUUUUGCAGUGGGUACGGGCUAACUAGAGUGCAGUAGGGGAGACUGGAAUUCCUGGUGUAGCGGUGGAAUGCGCAGAUAUCAGGAGGAACACCGAUGGCGAAGGCAGGUCUCUGGGCUGUAACUGACGCUGAGAAGCGAAAGCAUGGGGAGCGAACAGGAUUAGAUACCCUGGUAGUCCAUGCCGUAAACGUUGGGCACUAGGUGUGGGGGACAUUCCACGUUUUCCGCGCCGUAGCUAACGCAUUAAGUGCCCCGCCUGGGGAGUACGGCCGCAAGGCUAAAACUCAAAGAAAUUGACGGGGGCCCGCACAAGCGGCGGAGCAUGCGGAUUAAUUCGAUGCAGCGCGAAGAACCUUACCAAGGCUUGACAUAUACUGGACUGCGUCAGAGAUGGCGUUUCCCUUCGGGGCUGGUAUACAGGUGGUGCAUGGUUGUCGUCAGCUCGUGUCGUGAGAUGUUGGGUUAAGUCCCGCAACGAGCGCAACCCUCGUUCUAUGUUGCCAGCACGUGAUGGUGGGGACUCAUAGGAGACUGCCGGGGUCAACUCGGAGGAAGGUGGGGAUGACGUCAAAUCAUCAUGCCCCUUAUGUCUUGGGCUUCACGCAUGCUACAAUGGCCGGUACAGAGGGUUGCGAUACUGUGAGGUGGAGCUAAUCCCUAAAAGCCGGUCUCAGUUCGGAUUGGGGUCUGCAACUCGACCCCAUGAAGUCGGAGUCGCUAGUAAUCGCAGAUCAGCAACGCUGCGGUGAAUACGUUCCCGGGCCU
rnacentral:rRNA from 1 species